AAGAUAUUACUUCACUAAAUUACACAAAUAUUUCCAACAAAAAGAGUCUCACACAAUCAGACUUUUUUUACAGGAUCCAUAAGAGAAAAAAACACAACCUACACUAUUUUUGGCAAAAACAUAAAGCAACUACUUGAAAGAAAAUGGAACACAAACGCAAAAUCGAAACCAACGACCACGCCCAAGCUGGUAAUGCUGAUGGAGAGGCUCUGAACCCCAGCCUUGGUCCUUUAGUCGCUGCCAACGCUGUUCCAACUGCAGGUGAUGUUAUUCCUAUAGAUGGUGAUGGUGGUUGGCCUCCUCUUUUUGCAAUCGAUCAUCUGACUAUGGAUAAUGAUAUUGAUCCUUUACUUAUGGCUGCUGCGCUUGCCUCUAUUGUGAGCAUGGUCGAUUGCAACGAACACGUAGAACGCUUGAUGCAUCGAAUGAGGACCGUCUGGGCCAGCAUGAGGCACGUUUUGGGGCAAAUGCUGAAACAAACACGCAGACCGCGUCCAGCUUAAGAGUCCGUUUUAGUUGCUUCCAAUCCAAAUAAAGCGUAUAUAUUUUACUUAGGUGAACUUAUAACUUAAAGCUUUAAAUUAUAUGCAAAUUAAAACUAAAUGUUCUCUGCAUGUCCUAAAGCCGAAAAAUAAAAAAUUUAUUAUAGAA